AUCAAGAGACUUUGCCUGCCUCCUGAUGCAAAAGUUAUAUACCAUGAUGCAUGGAACAGGGACAGAAGUUGAUGCAGAAAUAUUCAGCAACCUCAUUAGACAAGGCAGUGUGGGGUGGUGCUAACAUUUUUCUCAAAUCACGGUGGGAUGUAAAGGCAGGUAUAAUCAAGCACUCUACACCCUACAGAAUAAAAUUAUCCACACUUUUUCUAUUCCUUUAGAAUUUUCUGAUUGCUUCUUGUCUUCUGCUUCUGAGAUGUCUGACCCAAAGCUUCAGCUCAAGUGCAUCAACUGUAAUCAUAGAUGAGGUCCCUGGCAAGAGACAAAGAAUUGAGGAUACAUGUGUUGCAAUGUCUGCUAAACAGUUGAAUGAAGCUGUGCUAAGAGGGAAGUCCAGUGGUGAAUAAGUAGACUACUACAGGAGUACCAAACAACAGAUGCCACAAGAAGAGAAAUGGUUAACAUACUGGUGGCUCACAUGAUUGAUAAUCAUGGGCACCUCUCCACUAAAGCAAUCAGAGAAGAGUGCACUCUUGGGAUAGUGAUGCUGUUCCCUUCCCUCAAGCAUCCAUAUUCCAAGAAAGGCCGUGUAAUAGUCAUUAUUACUGUUUGCAUGACACUUUCAUGUCAUACUUGCAUAUUGUGACACGAAGCUAUGUGCAUGACAGUGACAUUUGAAUUCUCUGAGAUCUCUUAUAAGCCGAGUAUUACAGCGCACUUAAUAUUUUUCAUUUCAGGAACAUUUCUAUGAUGCUGCAAGCAGCACAGGAUUUCACAUUUCUUGGCGUCUGAUAACAGUCCAAAGGAAGAUUCAUUGAGGAUCUGCACUGCCACCAAAUAGCUCUAUUGACUUUUCUCCAGGAGGCCCACAUUUUCAAAGGACUGUUAAUGUUGAAAGGCAGCUUGAUGAGGAUGCUUGCCAAGAGGCCAUGUCUUUGUUCAACCAUACCAUUCAAUGAUUUUCCAGAGACCUUUCAGCAUUGUCAGAAGCUUGUUAAUAACCCAGGCAGAAGUGUCGAUGUCCUCUCCACCUUCCCAAGAUUCCUGGAUACAAAGGGAUUGGUGGAUCAAGACUUCAUGCUCCUAUUUGAUGAUGAGACAUCCUCCAGGCUGUUUCAGAAAUGGGAUGUGUUCUUCAAGCCAAAUGUCAUAAAGAGGCUAAGCAGCUCACUUCAACACCAGAGUUGCGUCGCUUAGUGCAGUCAGCAUAAAUUCCCCCAGGAAGUGAUCUGGUUGAGACAAAAAUGGCCCCCAUUGUUGUUGAUACAUCUCCUUCCACCAACACCACCGGGGGGACUGAAGUCUCCAGAAUUAGUGAAUGUGAUGCAGUUAAGAGACUUAUAGUCUUUAAUAAGGUUCGUCAUCUCAACCCUGGUCAGGCUGCAGUUUAGAGGAGCGUCUCUGCAGCCAGCAGGGUCAGCAGCUGUACCUCCUUGCUGUUGGGCGUCAGAAGAGCAAGAUUGACAGCUUCUACAUCACCAUGGACAAGCAUCU